rnacentral:tRNA from 1 species
GCGCGAGUGGCGGAAUUGGCAGACGCGCCAGAUUUAGGAUCUGGUGCUCUAGGGCGUGGAGGUUCAAGUCCUCUCUCGCGUACCA